AGCAAGCACCGGCUAACUCCGCGCCAGCAGCCGCGGUAAUACGGGGGGUGCAAGCGUUACUCGGAAUCACUGGGCGUAAAGAGCAUGUAGGCUGAUUAGUAAGUUGGAAGUGAAAUCCUAUGGCUCAACCAUAGAACUGCUUCCAAAACUGCUUAUCUAGAGUAUGGGAGAGGUAGAUGGAAUUUCUGGUGUAGGGGUAAAAUCCGUAGAGAUCAGAAGGAAUACCGAUUGCGAAGGCGAUCUACUGGAACAUUACUGACGCUGAGAUGCGAAAGCGUGGGGAGCAAACAGGAUUAGAUACCCUGGUAGUCCACGCCCUAAACGAUGCACACUAGUUGUUGCUAUGCUAGACAUAGCAGUAAUGCAGUUAACACAGUAAGUGUGCCGCCUGGGGAGUACGGUCGCAAGAUUAAAACUCAAAGGAAUAGACGGGGACCCGCACAAGCGGUGGAGCAUGUGGUUUAAUUCGACGAUACGCGAAGAACCUUACUUGGCCUUGACAUAGUAAGAAUCUAAUAGAGAUAUAAGGGUGCUAGUUUACUAGAGCUUACAUACAGGUGCUGCACGGCUGUCGUCAGCUCGUGUCGUGAGAUGUUGGGUUAAGUCCCGCAACGAGCGCAACCCUCGUGUUUAGUUACUAACAGUUCGGCUGAGGACUCUAGACAGACUGCCUGGGUAACCAGGAGGAAGGUGAGGACGACGUCAGUCAUCAUGGCCCUUACGGCCAGGGCUACACACGUGCUACAAUGGGGUAUACAAAGAGCCGCGAUACCGUGAGGUGGAGCAAAUCCCAUAAAAUAUCUCCCAGUUCGGAUUGAAGUCUGCAACUCGACUUCAUGAAGUUGGAAUCGCUAGUAAUCGUAGAU
rnacentral:rRNA from 1 species